rnacentral:pre_miRNA from 1 species
CCCGAGCCGGGCUGGGCUGGGCUGGGCUGGGCUGGGCUGGGCUAGUAUCUCUUUGAAAGGCUCACCCUUAAGCACGAUUAGGAGC